rnacentral:rRNA from 1 species
GGAUGAACGCUGGCGGCGUGCCUACUCCAUGCAAGUCGAGCGAACGGACGAGAAGCUUGCUUCUCUGAUGUUAGCGGCGGACGGGUGAGUAACACGUGGAUAACCUACCUAUAAGACUGGGAUAACUUCGGGAAACCGUAGCUAAUACCGGAUAAUAUUUUGAACCGCAUGGUUCAAAAGUGAAAGACGGUCUUGCUGUCACUUAUAGAUGGAUCCGCGCUGCAUUAGCUAGUUGGUAAGGUAACGGCUUACCAAGGCAACGAUGCAUAGCCGACCUGAGAGGGUGAUCGGCCACACUGGAACUGAGACACGGUCCAGACUCCUACGGGAGGCAGCAGUAGGGAAUCUUCCGCAAUGGGCUAAAGCCUGACGGAGCAACGCCGCGUGAGUGAUGAAGGUCUUCGGAUCGUAAAACUCUGUUAUUAGGGAAGAACAUAUGUGUAAGUAACUGUGCACAUCUUGACGGUACCUAAUCAGAAAGCCACGGCUAACUACGUG